rnacentral:rRNA from 1 species
GACGUAGGGCGCGAGCGUUGUCCGGAUUUAUUGGGCGUAAAGAGCUCGUAGGCGGCUUGUCGCGUCGUCUGUGAAAUCCCGCGGCUCAACUGCGGGCUGCAGUCGAUACGGGCAGGCUGGAGUUCGGUAGGGGAGACUGGAAUUCCUGGUGUAGCGGUGAAAUGCGCAGAUAUCAAGAGGAACACCGGUGGCGAAGGCGGGUCUCUGGGCCGAUACUGACGCUGAGGAGCGAAAGCGUGGGGAGCGAACAGG